rnacentral:rRNA from 1 species
UACGUAGGGUGCAAGCGUUGCCCGGAUUUAUUGGGCGUAAAGGGCUCGUAGGCGGUUUGUCGCGUCGGGAGUGAAAACACCGGGCUUAACUCGGUGCUUGCUUUCGAUACGGGCAGACUAGAGGCAUGCAGGGGAGAACGGAAUUCCUGGUGUAGCGGUGAAAUGCGCAGAUAUCAGGAGGAACACCGGUGGCGAAGGCGGUUCUCUGGGCAUGUCCUGACGCUGAGGAGCGAAAGUGUGGGGAGCGAACAGG